rnacentral:rRNA from 1 species
UAGUAAUACACCUCGCUCUGGAGUCUCGGUGCGGCCACGCCGUUAAACCCCCAACUUUUUUUCUGGUGACCUCGAAUCAGAUGAAUUAAAAAAGGCCCC